UGGGCGCAAGCCUGAUCCAGCCAUGCCGCGUGAGUGAUGAAGGCCCUAGGGUUGUAAAGCUCUUUCGCCAGGGACGAUAAUGACGGUACCUGGAUAAGAAGCCACGGCUAACUACGUGCCAGCAGCCGCGGUAAUACGUAGGUGGCAAGCGUUAUCCGGAAUUAUUGGGCGUAAAGGGUGCGUAGGCGGUUUGAUAAGUCUGAGGUGAAAGUUCGGGGCUCAACUCCGAAUUGCCUUAGAAACUGUCAGACUUGAGUGUAGGAGAGGGCAAUGGAAUUCCAUGUGUAGCGGUAAAAUGCGUAGAUAUAUGGAGGAACACCAGUGGCGAAGGCGGUUGCCUGGCCUAUAACUGACGCUGAGGCACGAAAGCGUGGGGAGCAAAUAGGAUUAGAUACCCUAGUAGUCCACGCUGUAAACGAUGAUUACUAAGUGUCGGAGCAAUUCAGUGCUGCAGUUAACGCAAUAAGUAAUCCGCCUGGGGAGUAUGCACGCAAGUGUG
rnacentral:rRNA from 1 species